AGAAAAAGUAUAUACAGGGAAAAUAAUAUUAAUAAAUUUCCUUGCUAAUCUUUAGCGGGAAUCGAGUCACUCCCUCCGCUCGCUCAAAUUUCAACCUUUCGCAUCGCAGAGAAGAAGAAGAAGGAAGAAGAAACGAGAGAGAUGAGCAAUGGGCAUUUCCCGGGGAACCGUGCUCGUUGCGUUGCCAUGCCACGCCCAAAAUUCAUGUGAAUUUGUCGUUUUCUUUGCUCCUAUUUUUUCCUUCCUCCUGCUUUCUUGGAACCCAAAUGUCUCUUGCGCUUUGCGAUCUUGAUCAAGCUCGAACAUCUUGGAAUUUGUCUUUUGAUUCCUGGGUCGUUUUCGUCCGCACAUAUGAUUGGCGGAUGCUGAAGAUGGGCGGACAAUAGAGACCGAGUCUUGAGGAGCCCAACGUUCGUUGCGUUUCCUCUCGACUCCUGCGCUGAUUUUGAAGCUUCUAAUUUCUGGAGUUCUGUUGCUCUGACGCGUUCCUGCGUGUGUGCGCAAUGUCGGAAGAAAAUGGCGAUUUCGACUUCGGAAAUGGAGUCACGGAGUUCAGUCAUUCAAUGGCCGACGGCAGCAAAGAAGAGGCAAGGCCAUGGAGGUAUCUGAUCUGACAGUUGUCUUUCAGUCCUGCAGAAAUAUUCUGCUGAUCUAGCAGUAUGGGAUACUGUUCAUCAAGGAAGACUCCUUUUGGCUUAUGCUCACGCAUGUAGUACUGCCCUAACACUCUCUGUUCAAGGAAAAUUUUUCAGUUAUGAGGAUUCACACAUUUUAAAUUGGGUGCACUUCUUUCUUGGAAGUUCACUUGUUUUGAAUUUCUUGAAACUGAUUUGUGUAGAUAAUUAACUGCAAAUUGGAAGAGGAAGAUCCUACUUUAACCUGCUUCGUGAUCGGUGAUUCUGUAUGAUUAUAGCUUGCCUUUCAUUAUAUUCAUCUUCAUCUGGCUUUGUCUAAGUUCUUUUGUCAUUCCUAAAUUCAUGUUUUAGUUUAUUCUGGUCUGGGAAAGAUUAUGUGCUGCAUUAGUUAGCAUGUGACUAGCUGACCUAAGCAGUCUUAUAGCAACUUUUGAAUGACCUUUUCAGAAGAUACUAGCUUUUUCCUUGUUUACCUAUGGUCCCGGUUCUCUGUAUAAAAUAUAAAAUUUCAUUAAGCAAGAAGAAGAAAAAAGAAUACAGGAACCAGAGAUGGGGCAUUCCGAGAAUUGAACUCGGGACCUCUCGCACCCUAAGCGAGAAUCAUACCACUAGACCAAAUGCCCUGUUUGUGAUACUUUUAACGGUCUGUGAUAAAAGCUUCCAGGUAUAAUCAGCUACCCUUCUUCUAAAACCAAAAAAAAAAAGGGAAGAGUACAAGAUGCUGUCCACCUUAUAAGGGGAAGGUGUUUUGUACUUCUAUGUCUUGACUACUUGGUUCUUUCCACAGUAAGAUCUUACAAUUACCUAAACACUGCCUAGAAUCGCAAUUCUUAUAUUUUGGUCUCCUUCAACUAUAUGUGUUAUUUUUUUGCUUCUUUGUGCUAGCAGAACAAUCCUUUAGGUAAUAAGAUUUAAAUCUCUUUCAUUGUUUAUUGAGAAAUGUAUCCUGGUGGCAACAUUUAUCAAAGUUUUUGGAUUCUAACAUGGGCCUUAGAUGUCUCAUGGCCACAGUGAAGAUAAAAUGUCUAGGAAUACCUUUUAGUUUUGUUACAUUAAUAUGCUGGACAGUUUGGAUAGGCAUGUAGUCACAGUAUCAUUUUGCUCCUGAUGAAGGUAGUUUUCUACGGAGUGCUAGUCUGCUAGAUCUGUUUUAUGUAUUAAGAUGUGGUUCUCGUCUGACCUGAAUUAGUACAAACUGACGCUGUUUGGUCUCCCAAAGAGUGGCUCUGGCAAUAAUCCCCUAGUUUGGUUGCUUCAUUCUGGUCCUUUUGAUAUAAAUGUUUUCUUUGUAUGUUUUUUUCUUUUUUAUCUUAUUAGUUUUGCAAUUGAUCUAUAAGUUUGAUCUACAUAAAAAUGUACCUGCAUUAUGAAUACUUAGCACUGCAACCUGAGUUGACUUCUGAGGAGUGAGCAGUUUGCUACUGCAAUCACAACUGCAAACUAUCUUACCUGAUCUGCUUCAUUAUUCCAGUGCCUCUGCUUCAGUGUGAUCUAGUCACUCAUUUCAAAUUUUGCAUAAAAAUUAAAAUACUGGGGCAUUCCGAGAAUCGAACUCGGGACCUCUCGCACCCAAAGCGAGAAUCAUACCACUAGACCAAAUGCCCAUCUGUUGGUUCAUACAACGUCAGGAUCAACUCAGCCCAGAGAAUUGAAGCAAUUUAUGCCGAGGAGGCCGUUGUGAUAUCUGCCUGUCCUCUUUAGCAUGCAGUAUGAAUGCAUCUUUGGCGUCAAGCGGCAGCAUGUGAAAUGGGCCAAGAGGGGCCAGAAUUUGCCCCUCUUUUUUUGUAUUGAAUGAUUUUUUAAAUUCUUUCUGGAGUUGGUUGAGGUUUGAAAAAUGAAUACCUUGUCAGUAUCAAUAUUUUUUUGCCCUUUAAUAAGAGACUUUGAUAUGUAAAAUAUAUCAACUUUAAAUGCAGUUGUUGCAUUGACUU